AGAGUUUGAUCCUGGCUCAGAACGAACGCUGGCGGCGUGCUUAACACAUGCAAGUCGAACGCGAAAGUUUUUCUUCGGAGAAGCGAGUAGAGUGGCGCACGGGUGAGUAACGCGUAAGUAAUCUACCCUGGUAUCAGGGAUAACUAACCGAAAGGUUGGCUAAUACCUGAUACGCUGAUUUAUCAGGAAAGGUGGCCUCUUCAUGAAAGCUACUGUACCAGGAGGAGCUUGCGUACCAUUAGCUAGUUGGUAGGGUAACGGCCUACCAAGGCGACGAUGGUUAGCGGGUCUGAGAGGAUGAUCCGCCACACUGGAACUGGAACACGGACCAGACUCCUACGGGAGGCAACAGUGAGGAAUAUUGCGCAAUGGGGGCAACCCUGACGCAGCGACGCCGCGUGGAUGAUGAAGGCCUUCGGGUCGUAAAAUCCUGUCAGAUGGAAAGAAGUGUAYAGUGGUUAAUAUCCAUUAUAUUUGACGGUACCAUCAAAGGAAGCACCGGCUAACUCCGUGCCAGCAGCCGCGGUAAUACGGAGGGUGCAAGCGUUGUUCGGAAUUACUGGGCGUAAAGCGCGCGUAGGCGGUUUGUUAUGUCAGAUGUGAAAGUCCACGGCUCAACCGUGGAAGUGCAUUUGAAACUGGCAGACUUGAGUAUUGGAGGGGGUAGUGGAAUUCCCGGUGUAGAGGUGAAAUUCGUAGAUAUCGGGAGGAAUACCGGUGGCGAAGGCGACUACCUGGCCAAAUACUGACGCUGAGGUGCGAAAGCGUGGGGAGCAAACAGGAUUAGAUACCCUGGUAGUCCACGCCGUAAACGAUGUCAACUAGGUGUUGGGGAGGUUAAUCUUCUCAUUGCCGCAGCUAACGCAUUAAGUUGACCGCCUGGGGAGUACGGUCGCAAGAUUAAAACUCAAAGAAUUGACGGGGGCCCCACAAGCGGUGGAGUAUGUGG
rnacentral:rRNA from 1 species